rnacentral:rRNA from 1 species
GAAGAUGACGAGCGGCGGACGGGUGAGUAAUGCCUGGGAAUUUGCCCAUUUGUGGGGGAUAACAGUUGGAAACGACUGCUAAUACCGCAUACGCCCUACGGGGGAAAGCAGGGGACCUUCGGGCCUUGCGCUGAUGGAUAAGCCCAGGUGGGAUUAGCUAGUAGGUGAGGUAAAGGCUCACCUAGGCGACGAUCCCUAGCUGGUCUGAGAGGAUGAUCAGCCACACUGGGACUGAGACACGGCCCAGACUCCUACGGGAGGCAGCAGUGGGGAAUAUUGCACAAUGGGGGAAACCCUGAUGCAGCCAUGCCGCGUGUGUGAAGAAGGCCUUCGGGUUGUAAAGCACUUUCAGCGAGGAGGAAAGGGUGUAAGUUAAUACCUUACAUCUGUGACGUUACUCGCAGAAGAAGCACCGGCUAACUCCGUGCCAGCAGCCGCGGUAAUACGGAGGGUGCGAGCGUUAAUCGGAAUUACUGGGCGUAAAGCGUGCGCAGGCGGUUUGUUAAGCGAGAUGUGAAAGCCCCGGGCUCAACCUGGGAACCGCAUUUCGAACUGGCAAACUAGAGUCUUGUAGAGGGGGGUAGAAUUCCAG